CCUACGGGAGGCAGCAGUAGGGAAUUUUGCGCAAUGGGGGAAACCCUGACGCAGCAACGCCAUGUGUGGGAUGAAGCAUUUCGGUGUGUAAACCACUGUCAGCGGGGAAUAUGUACCCGCAAAGGAAGCCCCGGCUAACUUCGUGCCAGCAGCCGCGGUAAUACGAGGGGGGCAAAUGUUGUUCGGAAUCACUGGGCGUAAAGGGAGCGUAGGCGGGUUCUUAAGUAAGGUGUUUAAUCCCGGGGCCCAACCCCGGACCGGCACUUUAAACUGGGAAUCUUGAAUAGUGGAGAGGUCGGUGGAAUUGGAGGUGUAGCGGUGGAAUGCGUAGAGAUCUCCAAGAACACCAGUUGCGAAGGCGGCCGACUGGACACAAUUGACGCUGAGGCUCGAAAGCAUGGGGAGCAAACAGGAUUAGAUACCCUUGUAGUC
rnacentral:rRNA from 1 species